rnacentral:ncRNA from 1 species
UGAUAGCUGAGAAGCGAGAGGUUGCUGGCUGCAAAGCAGUCGGGUUUUCCGUGGAGCGAAUGUCAAGUUAGGAAACUGGCGACAA